ensembl:lncRNA
UGGUGUGAUGUCAGUCCACUGAGGCAGAGAGUAGUGUUUUGUGAUCUUUCACAGUUCUGUCAGAUUUGAAGAUCUGAGCAAUAGACUUAAGUGUCAUAACAGACAAAGGAAGAAAAUGAACGAUGUGAAUUGGAAUUCAACUGAUCUGGGAAAGAGGAGGAAUUCUAAUGAUGAUACAGAAGAGCCGGAGGAAAGUUUUGGUGGCCAGGAAGACCGAACAGAGCUACAGAAUAGAGAGCUUCAGCUACACAAGCAAGUCCAGAGAGAGCCAUCAAAAGAGUUGUUUGAAGAUUUUGGACGAAAGAAAGGCCCCAAAAUAAGAAGUGCGGAGUGACUGAGAUUUCUGAAAGAAUGGAAAAUGGCCAUGCUGGAAGCUUUGGAAGAGGUUUCUUUUUCUUUUUUGUCCUAUGGACAGACCAACCACUUCAACUUGACUUUAUGAGUAAAUUCAGAGGCGCCCAGCUAUACAACAGAAACAGCCAUGGAACAGGUCAAAAUCUUCUUGACUGGGGAGUGAAACACACAGAGUGGACAUAGAAUACCGAAAAAUACAAGUCAAAGUAAAUUAAAUUCAUGCUCUGUCCAAACACAAGAUUUCAUCUUUUUGGAACACUCAACGGCUCAUACACAAGCUGGUAAAGGAGGAAAACAGAUGCUUGGGGAAAGGAAAAGAAGGCAUGACGUUAUGGACUUCUGCAAGUCGGAAUUUACACUUUUACACUUAAACAUCAUAUUGUUUUUUAGCAUAAGAAGAAACUUGUGUCAUAAAAUCCUGAAAAUGAAGAUUUAUUAGAAAUCAACAUGCAGUUCUUUGGGCUAUGAUGCAAAACUUUGAGUGAUAUUGUGUAGCAUUGAGAUGUGCCAAACAGCAAAUGUAAGCCAGCCGUUAGCUUGCCCUAAUUGCUUUAUUUCUUUAUUACAAUCACGGGAUGAUAUGGAAUUAAAUUUGCAUAAGACAGUAAACUACUAGGGUCGCAUGAUGAUAAUGAAAUAAUAUUGGUAGUAGCCGCUGUUUGCUUUAAAAAACAAUAUCAGCCAGAUUGGAUUCAAGUAGUAUUUCAAACCGAUAUCGGUUAAUGUAUUUAUUGUACUCCUGAGGAGCAGAAUGUGUAGGUGGUUCUGGGUGAUUGUGCUAAAAUGUACAUAUUGUAUUUAUUUUUCUACUUUUGCAACCUGAAAAAUUACUUUGAGUGCAUCUCUAUAAACAAAAAUAAUAAGAUUCCAAUAUGAGAUGUGAAGGCUUAAAGGAUUAAAUGAAUAAAUGAAAAUAAAAAUACAGCAAAUCAGUUCAAAUUGGUUGUUAAUCCACCUGCAUCGGUCCUGCAUUGCUACAGUUACUGCUACAGAUGCUCAGUUUGAGCUUACUGCCCUCACUUGCUCUGAAUAAUCUUAACCUUAUUUGAAACAAAUAAAUUGGUUUCAAGCAUAAGUGAGCAUCUGAGAGUGCGUUCAGCCCUGAUAUAUAAUAUUACAUGAACUGUAAGAAAUCUAAACCCCUGUGGGGGAUGACUGAACUUGAGCUGAAAACCACACCACAAGAUUUUGUUAGUGGGGUAAGGCAUUUUGUUUGCAGUGACAUUAUGAAUGCAGCAGUGCACUGAAGCAGGUGCUAAGUCCUUAAAUAAUGUUGAUAAUUUUGUAACUUUAUGUGUAUUUUUUUGGAACAUAUAUGAAUAUAGGAAUUACAUGAACAAACUGCCAACCAGUAACAGCAAGGAACAGUGUAAAUGAAAUAAAAAUGAAUAGUCCCAUCUACCUUAUCCUUAUUAAGAUGUAUUGGGAAUGUACUCUGAAUAUAUUACUUUUUUAAGAAUUGCAAUGGAAUAUGUUACUGAAUACAUUAAUGACACUGUAUUCAGUAUUCGGCAAUAAAUACU